GCCAGCCGCCGCGGGAACACCGGCGGCCCGAGUGGUGAUCGUGAUUAUUGGGUCUAAAGGGUCCGUAGCCGGUUUGGUCAGUCCUCCGGGAAAUCUGAUAGCUCAACUAUUAGGCUUUCGGGGGAUACUGCCAGACUUGGAACCGGGAGAGGUAAGAGGUACUACAGGGGUAGGAGUGAAAUCUUGUAAUCCCUGUGGGACCACCUGUGGCGAAGGCGUCUUACCAGAACGGGUUCGACGGUGAGGGACGAAAGCUGGGGGCACGAACCGGAUUAGAUACCCGGGUAGUCCCAGCCAUAAACGAUGCUCGCUAGGUGUCAGGCAUGGCGCGACCGUGUCUGGUGCCGCAGGGAAGCCGUGAAGCGAGCCACCUGGGAAGUACGGCCGCAAGGCUGAAACUUAAAGGAAUUGGCGGGGGAGCACAACAACGGGUGGAGCCCUGCGGUUUAAUUGGACUCAACGCCGGACAACUCACCGGGGGCGACAGCAAUAUGUAGGCCAAGCUGAAGACUUUGCCUGAAUCGCUGAGAAGAGGUGCAUGG
rnacentral:rRNA from 1 species